ACUGUAAAGACACGUGCAUGCAUUUUUUUUUUGCCAAACUGCCAUUUCAAGCCACUCAGAGCACCUUUCCACGCAGUACACGCCCUCUUAAAAAAAUCCCUCCUCUGUUUCUAAGGUCCUUCUCCUCCCUCUCCAUUUCUCCACGCCCUUCCUCUCCUCCCCCUGCUCCCUCCCUCCUUUCCCUCCCUCUGUCCCCCCACUACCUCCCUGUCUCUGCUCUCCAGUUAGCCUUAGAAGUCACUGAGGCGUGGACGUGACAGAGUUACUGAUAGCAUUUGUGAUUCGUGUUAUCCGCGUUAUUCGCCCCGGUGGACAGUUACGGGGUGACGGACAGGUGCGAUGGCCAGUUAGCGGCAAAGGAAACUGGUGAAGGAAGUGAGGAAAAGUGAGGGAGCGAUACAGUGAGGGAAGGUGCAUGAAUUUCGCCGGCUGGUGGUGCUCGUUGGGGUGAUGGAAGAGCAGCGCCGCACGUCGUCCUCGUCAUAGAAUAAGAUACAACAGUGACAGCCAUGUAAGAGCUGGCCGGGAACGCAACGACUAAAUGAUAAGAACCACCGGCUGACGAAUAAUUGAAGCCGGCAAUGUGGGACACGGGUUGUCUGCUUCCCAAGCCCGCUGUGCCCCGAAAGAACUGAUCCCUCGGUAACAAGGAAUAUCCAAGAGUAAGUACAAGGUUUGAUGUCAGUAAGCCACCCGGCACGGACGACCUGCCGCUGAGAUUCCCCGAGGAUUUGAAAUACUGCAGCCAUCAAUCACAGUACCAAACAACCGUGGAAAGAACAAGGACGAUCGUAUUGCAAAGUUCUAAAACGUGUAAUCGAAAUACAGAUCGAAAAGAGUAUGGCUGGAAUUCUGAAGAGCUUAACAACAUAUUUCGGAUGAAUACUUCAGAUGAGAAACAAAUCUCCUUAUGUUAACAAGGUUUAUUUCUUUUGUAAUACUUACAUAAGCUUGGAUAGUUAAACACUUAAUGGCGUAGCCUAGUAUGUCCGCAAGACCAUUCACGAAGGAUGCACUUGACUUUCAUAUAGAAAAAGAUAUAAUAAUGCCAUAAGAGUGAAUUGGCAGGACUAUUUCAAGAAGAGAAUUGGCUCAAUAUCGCAGAGGAUGCAGAUCAUUGUGCGGUUACUACAAGGAACACCAAUGUAUUCCGUACUGUGCAAUAAGCUUUUGGAAUUUCAAGGUCAGUGGAUACCACUUUUGUUUUUGUUUUUUAUUUUAUGGAGGACGCAGAGAUUGAAGGAAAAACAUAUUAUAUGCAAUACCUUGUCAGUAACCAAAAGGGCAUGGACAAGAUUAUCAAGUGUUAUGAAAAUGUCGAUGUCGUUGAGGACAGACACCAACGGUAAGUGACGAAUUUCAGAUCAAGAACAAGAAAUAUACAUGGUGUUGAAGCAGCGAACGCAUCAAUGAAGAGAAUGGUCCUGGCGUCAUCUUCACCAGUGGCAAGACGUGCUGGAGUCACUGCUCACGUGUGAGGAAAAAGAUAAAUUAAGAGAUAUAUAAUGACAGGACUCAUCGCAAAGAACUCUGCGCUUAAGUCUUCUGAGUUGAUAAUUUUCAAAUUGCAAGUCGCUGGUGGCACUCAACGGGCGGAGCUCGUUUUAUAUCCAUCACCUACCAGGACAUCUCAUCUUCAAGCGUUCAUCAGAGUGUUUAUAUUUAUCCUACCAUUACCAGAGGUCACGAAGAGAGGUUAAAACAUUGUGUGAUUAAGUGAAAACAUGACACUUCUUCAGGAUACGUAACAGGUUUGGCAGCACGAAUCCUUCAUAUGUGAGUUUAUUGAACUUAAGAGUCAAGUGGACGAUGAGAAACCAUGCAUAAUACAAAAAGUGAAGCUAACAUGGACAGCUGCAGAAUAUUAACUACCUCAAAUCCUGUUGGCAUUCACUGGAACAAUGUAGGGACUGAAAAAAACAAAACAAAAAAAAACAACGAACUUAAAAGACCUGCAUACUCGUAUAAAGAUUUCAUGGGGAUGGACGUGAAAUGAUAAUUUUUCCAUCCCUACAGCAUUUUAACCAUAAUUUUCAUUAGUUAAUAAAUGAGGCCGUCUAGCUGGUAUGUUUACUUAGUUAAUAAAGUUUCUCCUUGGUCUGUUGUG